UACAGAGGUCUCAAGCGUUGUUCGGAUUCAUUGGGCGUAAAGGGUGCGUAGGUGGCGCUGUAAGUCGGGUGUGAAAGCCCUGGGCUCAACCCAGGAAGUGCACUUGAAACUUCGAGGCUCGAGUUCUGGAGAGGAUGGCGGAAUUCUCGGUGUAGAGGUGAAAUUCGUAGAUAUCGAGAGGAACACCGGUGGCGAAGGCGGCUACCUGGACCGGUUCUGACGCUGAGGCGCGAAAGCGUGGGGAGCAAACAGGG
rnacentral:rRNA from 1 species